rnacentral:lncRNA from 1 species
GGAGAAGUUAUAGAUCUAAGAAAAAAGGGAAGAAAGACCUCAAAGCUUUUUUAGGAUUUCUCAGAAACCCUAGAAACGAGAAGGCCUGGAAAGAUCUGGUCUUUGAACAAGUCUGGGUCAUGGCUAAACCUUGUCAAAGCUCGAACAAGCUGGAACAGAGCGGGAGAAGCCAAAAGAACUUAGAUCGGCAGAGGACUUGAACAAGUCUGUUGAAGAUCGAACCUUGAAAACCUUGAAUAAUCAUGGUUUGGGGUGAAUGAAAGAGCGUAUAGGCUGUUCAUGGCCUGGGAAGUCAUCGACGCCGGUGGAUUUGGGCGGAGAAAGCGGUAGGCGGCUAGGUUUUCGAGUGGUUUUAAGGAGAUUUUGAGAGACGAGGGAGUUU